UCAACACUUUCAAAACAAAAUUUCAAUUGAAAUUUCAAAAUGUCUGAAGGCAACGCAACAAGAGAAGAAUUAAUUCAAACAUAUUCAAUGUCCAACAACAAAUACUUGAAAUGUAAAUGGAAUAAAUUUUUAGAUCGUGUACCACAUGAAACGCUCCAAAUUAAACCAUAUGAAGAAUUUAAAAAGAAGAAGGAUCCUGUUAGAAAAAUGAUUUUGAAUGGUACUUUUUAUCUUAAAUCUGGUGAAGUUAUUCCUGUAUGAAUAAUUUUUAAAAUAAAAUACAAAUAGAGAACUUUAAAUUUAAUAAAAAUCAUAGAAACUA